rfam:Pichia pastoris GS115 chromosome 2, complete sequence
AUCUCUUUGCCUUUUGGCUUAGAUCAAGUGUAGUAUCUGUUCUUUUCAGUGUAACAGCUGAAAUGUCAUAUCAUAUAUGGCUUUUAAAUGUUACUUUAUUUUUGGUUCUGGGACAUUGGAAAUUUCCUUCUUGAAGGAAGUAUCUGGUGGGUGAUCUGCACCUUGAUAGGCUUGCCUAUU